rnacentral:rRNA from 1 species
AAUCAACGCUGGCGGCGUGCCUCAGACAUGCAAGUCGAACGCGAAAGUUUCCUUCGGGGAGCGAGUAGAGUGGCGCACGGGUGAGUAACACGUAGGUAAUCUACCUUCGGAUGGGGAAUAACAAUCGGAAACGGUUGCUAAUACCGCAUAAUGCAGCGGCACCUAAUGGUGACAGUUGUUAAAGCGGAGGAUCGUAAGACCUCGCGUCUGAAGAGGAGCCUGCGGCGGANAGUCUUGUUGGUAAGGUAAUGGCUUACCAAGGCGACGAUCCGUAACCGGCCUGAGAGGGCGGUCGGUCACACUGACACUGACAUACGGGUCAGACUCCUACGGGAGGCAGCAGU